GCAUAACGCGAAGAACCUUACCUGGUCUUGACAUGCAUCUUGUCGCUGGUGAAAGCCAGCUAGGUUAGCAAUAACCGAUUUGCACAGGUGCUGCAUGGCUGUCGUCAGCUCGUGUCGUGAGAUGUUGGGUUAAGUCCCGCAACGAGCGCAACCCUCGUCACUAGUUACUAACGGUUCGGCCGAGGACUCUAGUGAGACUGCCUUCGUAAGGAGGAGGAAGGUGAGGACGACGUCAAGUCAUCAUGGCCCUUACGGCCAGGGCGACACACGUGCUACAAUGGGAUGUACAAUGAGACGCAAUACCGCGAGGUGGAGCAAAUCUAUAAAACAUCUCUCAGUUCGGAUUGUAGUCUGCAACUCGACUACAUGAAGCUGGAAUCACUAGUAAUCGUAGAUCAGCCAUGCUACGGUGAAUACGUUCCCGGGUCUUGUACACACCG
rnacentral:rRNA from 1 species